AGGACGAACGCUGGCGGCGUGCUUAACACAUGCAAGUCGAGCGGUAAGGCCUUUCGGGGUACACGAGCGGCGAACGGGUGAGUAACACGUGGGUGAUCUGCCCUGCACUUCGGGAUAAGCCUGGGAAACUGGGUCUAAUACCGGAUAUGACCUCAGGUUGCAUGACUUGGGGU
rnacentral:rRNA from 1 species